GGGGGAUAACCUGGGGAAACCCAGGCUAAUACCGCAUACGCCCUACGGGGGAAAGCAGGGGCUCUUCGGACCUUGCGCUAUCGGAUGAGCCUAUGUCGGAUUAGCUGGUUGGUGAGGUAAUGGCUCACCAAGGCGACGAUCCGUAGCUGGUCUGAGAGGAUGAUCAGCCACAUCGGGACUGAGACACGGCCCGAACUCCUACGGGAGGCAGCAGUGGGGAAUAUUGGACAAUGGGCGCAAGCCUGAUCCAGCCAUGCCGCGUGUGUGAAGAAGGCCCUCGGGUUGUAAAGCACUUUCAGUGGGGAAGAAAUCCUCGGGGCUAAUACCCUCGAGGGAGGACAUCACCCACAGAAGAAGCACCGGCUAACUCCGUGCCAGCAGCCGCGGUAAUACGGAGGGUGCGAGCGUUAAUCGGAAUUACUGGGCGUAAAGCGCGCGUAGGCGGCCUGAUAAGCCGGUUUGUGAAAGCCCCGGGCUCAACCUGGGAACGGCAUCCGGAACUGUCAGGCUAUAGUGCAGGAGAGGAAGGUAGAAUUCCCGGUGUAGCGGUGAAAUGCGUAGAGAUCGGGGAGGAAUACCAUUGGCUAAGCGGGCUUCUGGACUGACACUGACGC
rnacentral:rRNA from 1 species